GCUUAAAGAAAUGGUAUCGUGGAGAACCGAGUUCGGAUUUCAAGUACCUGGAUUUGGGGUCGCCAAAGAGAUAAGUACGGAUAUAGUUUGGAAAGACAUCUUGCAAACGCACCUCAGAACUUUAGAUCCCAAACUGUCUUGGGGUAUAUCAGUAGUAAAGCCAUGCAACAUCAAGAUGAGGAUUAGUGUCAAACCAUGCACUGCAGCAUCUCUUAGAAGAAGACCGUUGAGUCGACAAAGAAUAACAUAGAGUCCAUAGCUACCUUGUGACGCCCCCAAAACAGGUAUACAUCACCCAUCUUGAGUCGCCAGAUACAUGGUGCAUAAAUUCAAAUACAACUUAAUUAUACAACAGUCGUGUAAAAUACGACAAAAUAUAGCUAAGAGUUUAAACAAGAAUAUUGUCAUCUAGACAAUAUCCACACUCAAUGGAGUCCUCAUUACAAUUAUUGUCACACUAUUUUAUAGAAUAGUGAGGACUACUAAAACAACCAUGUGGACCGUCAAUCCGUUCCUCGACUCGUCCCAACUAUAUUCUCAUUUCCUGAAGAGAAUUGUGAAAGAAAGGGUGAGCUCAACUAGCCCAGUAAGAAAUAUUAUCCUUAGCCUUCAACAGUAUAACAACUGAUAGAAUACAAUAGACAACAAGUUUUAG
rnacentral:lncRNA from 1 species